AGUAACGGCGAGUGAAGCGGGAAGAGCUCAAGCUUAAAAUCUCCGUGCAAGUUUUGCGCGGCGAAUUGUAGUCUAUAGAGGCGUGAUCAGUGUGGGCGCUKGGGGCAAGUUCCUUGGAAGAGGACAGCAUGGAGGGUGAUACUCCCGUUCAUCCCUGAGUUGCUCGUGCGUACGAUCCGUUUUCUUUGAGUCGCGUUGUUUGGGAAUGCAGCGCAAAGUAGGUGGUAAAUUCCAUCUAAAGCUAAAUAUUGGUGCGAGACCGAUAGCGAACAAGUACCGUGAGGGAAAGAUGAAAAGAACUUUGAAAAGAGAGUUAAAGAGUACCUGAAACUGCUGAAAGGGAACCGAAUCGUUUCCAGUGUCUAUAAUCCGUGGUAUAUUUCAUUGGCGAGUGUGUGCGUGCGUGUGCUGUGGCAGCGGCUUUUUUGGCUGCGCUCGGCGUGUGUGCUGUGUGUGCUUGCUGGUGCCCUGUGCUGCGGUGGGACGUCAAGGUCAGUUCGUAUGCUGCGGGAAAUGGCCGCCGAGGAGGUAGGGCUUACGCUUGCGUUUGUCUGUUAUAUCUGGUGGACGAGUAGUCGCGGUUGGGACUGAGGUGCCUACAACGUGUUUUUGAGUGGGCCUGUGUCUCUGUGUGCGCCGUGUGCGGAUAGCUGCUAUGCGUGUGUGGUUGUGUGUGGAUUGAUGUGGGUUUUAACUUGUUGCCGUUCGGGACGUUGACGAAAUGGAGCGAUUUGACCCGUCUUGAAACACGGACCAAGGAGUCUAACAUGUGUGCAAGUGUUAGGGUGUGGAAACCCCAGCGCGAAAUGAAAGUGAAGGGCAGCGUAAGUUGUCUGAGGUAGGAAAUGCUGCGGGCUUCGGUCUGCGGUGUGGCACUAUCGACCGAUCAUGAACCUUCGUGGUGAAAGAUUUGAGUUUGAGCACAUAUGUUGGUACCCGAAAGAUGGUGAACUAUGCCUGAGUAGGGUGAAGCCAGGGGAAACUCUGGUGGAAGCUCGUAGCGAUUCUGACGUGCAAAUCGAUCGUCAAACUUGGGUAUAGGGGCGAAAGACUAAUCGAACCAUCUAGUAGCUGGUUCCCUCCGAAAUUUCCCUCAGGAUAGCAGCAACUUAUUUACGAUAGUUUUAUGAGGUAAAGCGAAUGAUUAGAGGAUUCGGGGAAGAAACUUCCUCGACCUAUUCUCAAACUUUAAAUCUGUAAGACCUGCAGGUUCUUAAUUGAACUGUGGA
rnacentral:rRNA from 1 species